rnacentral:rRNA from 1 species
UACGUAGGGGGCAAGCGUUGUCCGGAAUCAUUGGGCGUAAAGAGCGUGUAGGCGGCUCGAUAAGUCUGCUGUGAAAGUCCAGGGCUCAACCCUGGAAGGCCGGUGGAAACUGUCGGGCUAGAGUCCGGAAGAGGCGAGUGGAAUUCCCGGUGUAGUGGUGAAGGGCGUAGAUAUCGGGAGGAACACCAGUGGCGAAGGCGACUUCCUGGCCUGUUCUUGACGCUGAGGCGCGAAAGCUAGGGGAGCAAACGGG